rnacentral:rRNA from 1 species
UACGUAGGGUGCGAGCGUUGUCCGGAAUUAUUGGGCGUAAAGGGCUCGUAGGCGGUUUGUCGCGUCUGCCGUGAAAGUCCGGGGCUCAACUCCGGAUCUGCGGUGGGUACGGGCAGACUAGAGUGAUGUAGGGGAGACUGGAAUUCCUGGUGUAGCGGUGAAAUGCGCAGAUAUCAGGAGGAACACCGGUGGCGAAGGCGGGUCUCUGGGCCGAUACUGACGCUGAGGAGCGAAAGCAUGGGUAGCGAACAGG